rnacentral:rRNA from 1 species
GGAUUGAUCUGUCUGCUUAAUUGCGAUAACGAACGAGACCUUAACCUGCUAAAUAGCCAGGCUAGCUUUGGCUGGUCGCCGGCUUCUUAGAGGGACUAUCGGCUCAAGCCGAUGGAAGUUUGAGGCAAAAACAGGUCUGUGAUGCCCUUCGAUGUUMUGGGCCGCACGCGCGGUACACUGACAGAGCCAACGAGUAAUUCACCUUGGCCGAAAGGUCUGGGCAAUCUUGUUAAACUCUGUCGUGCUGGGGAUAGGGCAUUGCAAUUAUUGCCCUUCAACGAGGAAUGCCUAGUAAGCGCAAUUCAUCAGAUUGUGCUGGAUUCGUCCCUGCCCUUUGUACACACCGCCCGUCGCUACUACCGAUUGAAUGGCUAAGUGAGGCCUCCGGACUGGCCCCAGGAGGUCGGCAACGACCACCCAGGGCCGGAAAGUUCGUCAAACUUGGUCAUUUAGAGGAAGUAAAAGUCGUAACAAGGUUUCCGUAGGUAAGUUAUCGAUCAGCCGUUCCAUCCUCGUCAACAAAUACUAAUCUCUCCUAGGUGAACCUGCGGAAGGAUCAUUAAAAGUGAUAUUCGUCCCCUCGUGGGACGUUUGCCAACCCCCCGGGGCAACCCGGGUCAGGCACCACACCCUUGACUACCUACCAUGUUGCUUUGGCGGGCCGUGGCCCUGUGCCCCGUUGGCCCCGGCUGGCGAGCGCCCGUCAGAGACCCAUUUAAAAUCUGUUUAAACCGUGUCGUCUCAGUUAAAAAUAAUCGCAAAAAACUUUCAACAACGGAUCUCUUGGUUCUGGCAUCGAUGAAGAACGCAGCGAAAUGCGAUAAGUAAUGUGAAUUGCAGAAUUCAGUGAAUCAUCGAAUCUUUGAACGCACAUUGCGCUCCCUGGUAUUCCGGGGAGCAUGCCUGUUCGAGCGUCAUUUCAAAUCUCAAGCCUUGCUUGGUGUUGGGUGUUCGCCCCGGCGGCUGUCCCUCGGGGCACCGCCGGGGCGCUCCCAAAAAUCAGCGGCGGUGCAGCCGGGCUCAUAGCGCAGUGAACCGUAACAAGUCUCGCUAUCGCAGCCCCGGGUGCUCCUGCCGGACAAGACCCCCCCAUCUCAGAUUGACCUCGGAUCAGGUAGGGAUACCCGCUGAACUUAAGCAUAUCAAUAAGCGGAGGAAAAGAAACCAACAGGGAUUGCCUCAGUAACGGCGAGUGAAGCGGCAACAGCUCAAAUUUGAAAUCUGGCCCCCCGGGUCCGAGUUGUAAUUUGCAGAGGUGUGUCUCGGGAGAGAUACCGGCCCAAGUCCCCUGGAACGGGGCGUCCUAGAGGGUGAGAAUCCCGUACGCGGCCGGCCAUCAAUCCCAUGUGAGGCCCCUUCGACGAGUCGAGUUGUUUGGGAAUGCAGCUCAAAAUGGGUGGUAAAUUUCAUCUAAAGCUAAAUACCUGCCAGAGACCGAUAGCGCACAAGUAGAGUGAUCGAAAGAUGAAAAGCACUUUGAAAAGAGAGUUAAAAAGUAUGUGAAAUUGUUGAAAGGGAAGCGCUUGCAACCAGACUCGACCGCGGGUGCUCAACCGUCCCUCGGGGCGGCGUACUCGCCCGCGGCCGGGCCAGCAUCGGUUUUGGCGGCCGGACAAAGGCCCUGGGAAUGUAGCUCCCCCCGGGGAGUGUUAUAGCCCGGGGUGCAAUGCGGCCAGCCGGGACCGAGGACCGCGCAUUUGCUAGGAUGCUGGCAUAAUGGUUGCCAGCGACCCGUCUUG